rnacentral:rRNA from 1 species
GAUGAACGCUGGCGGCGUGCCUAAUACAUGCAAGUCGAGCGAACAGACGAGGAGCUUGCUCCUCUGACGUUAGCGGCGGACGGGUGAGUAACACGUGGAUAACCUACCUAUAAGACUGGGAUAACUUUGGGAAACCGGAGCUAAUACCGGAUAAUAUAUUGAACCGCAUGUUCAAUAGUGAAAGACGGUUUUGCUGUCACUUAUAGAUGGAUCCGCGCCGCAUUAGCUAGUUGGUAAGGUAACGGCUUACCAAGGCGACGAUGCGUAGCCGACCUGAGAGGGUGAUCGGCCACACUGGAACUGAGACACGGUCCAGACUCCUACGGGAGGCAGCAGUAGGGAAUCUUCCGCAAUGGGCGAAAGCCUGACGGAGCAACGCCGCGUGAGUGAUGAAGGUCUUCGGAUCGUAAAACUCUGUUAUUAGGGAAGAACAAAUGUGUAAGUAACUAUGCACGUCUUGACGGUACCUAAUCAGAAAGCCACGGCUAACCACGUG